rnacentral:rRNA from 1 species
AACGAACGCUGACGGCAGGCCUAACACAUGCAAGUCGAGCGAGGACUUCGGUCCUAGCGGCGGACGGGUGAGUAACGCGUGGGAACGUGCCCUUUGGUACGGAAUAGCCCCGGGAAACUGGGAGUAAUACCGUAUGGUGUCUUCGGACUAAAGAUUUAUCGCCAAAGGAUCGGCCCGCGUUGGAUUAGGUAGUUGGUGGGGUAAUGGCCUACCAAGCCGACGAUCCAUAGCUGGUUUGAGAGGAUGAUCAGCCACACUGGGACUGAGACACGGCCCAGACUCCUACGGGAGGCAGCAGUGGGGAAUCUUAGACAAUGGGGGCAACCCUGAUCUAGCCAUGCCGCGUGAGUGAUGAAGGCCCUAGGGUUGUAAAGCUCUUUCAGCUGGGAAGAUAAUGACGGUACCAGCAGAAGAAGCCCCGGCUAACUCCGUG